UUUAUAUUGUUUGUUAUAUUUGCUCUUGCAGGAUCAAACAGAGUAUUGAGAGGCACUACAGCUGUCCAAGGUGUGUUUGCAGGUGUUUGCUGAGUUUCAUUGCUUUGCAAAUGUUGAACCUAUGCAACCAAUUCUACUGCGAGCUUGAGAGAUACACACCACUACUGAUUGCCCUGGACAGGCAGAAGGCCAAGACAGCUGAGGCCCUGCAGAGAUCCUCAGGAGUUAUGACCUUCAGGAGGAUGAUCAGUCGCCAUACGGUCUACUGACAGUUGCAGAGACACAGAAUCGUGGGUGAAAAGGUUCAAAACCCGAGCUGUUUUU